rnacentral:rRNA from 1 species
UACGUAGGGGCCGAGCGUUGUCCGGAGUUAUUGGGCGUAAAGCGCGCGCAGGCGGCUUCGCGCGCCCGACGUGAAAGCCCCCGGCUUAACCGGGGAGCGUCGUUGGGGACGGCGGAGCUUGAGGGCGGGAGAGGUCGGUGGAAUUCCCGGUGUAGUGGUGAAAUGCGUAGAGAUCGGGAGGAACACCUGUGGCGAAGGCGGCCGACUGGGCCGACCCUGACGCUGAGGCGCGAAGGCGUGGGGAUCAAACAGG